GUCUGAGGCUCCUGACCGGCCACCAAACCUGCUGAUAAAAAGUGGGUUAGUGCCUGCAGUGACCAGAAGGUGCUGGCACGUCUAAGGGCUCAGACUUGUUUCCGAGGCACCAGAGUGAUUUAGAAAACUUUUCUGACACAAGCCCCUUUACGAAAAGGUGUGUGGUUUGCCUAAAUGCCUGUGGAGUCUGGGCCAUGAAUGGAGAAGUCAGUCCAGGGAAUGACGAUGGAAGGAGCUGAGUUUACUGCCUUGGAGACCAGAGCCUCGCUACCAGAAACCAUAUCCAGGGGGCCGUGGGCAGCAAGUGGCUGACGUUGGAAAGGCAGUUGGAUACGCCAGGGUCUGGACCCAAGCAGAUUUCAACAGGAUCAUAUAUACAAGAUGGAGGAAGCAACGGAGACAUACCUUUGGCCAAUGAGCCCACUAAAACAGGCUCAGCAUCACUAAUCCCCAGGGAAGCG
rnacentral:lncRNA from 1 species